GCCAUUCUCUCCCUCUCCUCUUCUCUUGGGCGAAGCCAUGGCAAUUUGGUUCCCCACCUUAUCAUUUUCCUUGAGAUACGGUUCCUUGCAUUGUAAGCUAGAUACUUAGAAGUAGGACGUGAAAAUUUAGGAGUAGUUGGAUCUUGUUGUUAGCUUUCCAUAGACAUCAAGCACACUUGAAUCCGAGCUAAGACAAAGGAGUUAGGACGAUUUUACUGCCAGGGGGUCUUCUGCCGGGCAGAUUCGAAGGACUCACUUUGAAGGGCGAUUGCUGGCGGACCACAACGCGUUUGGAGCUGAGUUUUGGAUGCUGUUAGAUCUUGAAGUUAGCUCUCCAGAAAGUGACAGACGUAGGUCUUCUGGCGCUAGUUUACCUCUCCAAGCUGCACGAGGAAGUCCAUAGUGCUCCUCACAAUUGCCUCCUCCAGGCCUCGGAUCACAAACUAAGGUUUUGCCAGGACGCACUUCCCAAUGUUCAUUGAGUGCGUCGUGAUUUCAAACGGAAAACAGCCUUUGCACUCUUCCCAAAGCUCUCGCUGAGCAUCCGUAAUUUUCUGGAAGCUGGUCCAAGACCAACUCGUGACCCUGAAGGAGUUGCUGCUCUUGUCAUCGUGGAUGUUGAGCUGCCCCCACCACUGGACCUCCAUUUCUUUGCCGUCGGCUCACUUGGUGUUUCUGGGGCUGUAGACUGGCGCCUUAAAGGAACACGACAUGCGCUCCUGGGCAUAGUUGUUUCUGAAGUCGUGGGUGUUCCGGCCCCAGCUCGUCUCAAAUGUUGAUGACGGGAAGGAGUAGGGAUGACAGGAACAGGCUUGGCUUCAAAUGUUGACAUUAACUGCAGAAUUUGCCUCAGCCGCUUGUUCACUUUCUCUGCAUUAUCAUUAGUCCAUGGCUCAAACUUCAGGAAUGCAUCCUUCAGGGCACCCAACGAGUUUCUCUGUAGAGCAAUUCCUUGAAAUCGAACUGCCCACUAGAUGAUCCCACUUUCACAACAAUCAAAUGACAGUGAGGCAAGUCAUAUCCGGCUUCAUCAAACACUUGGAUGCCUAAUACAAUGUACUCCCUCCGCUGAUGCUCCACAAAUGUCACCCUCUCCUUUCGGUCAAGGUGCACGUACGGAGUAUCACCUCUCUCUCUAUGCAUUAUUUGCACAUGCUUCCCACAUCUUGAGAGGGACUAGCUCUUCAUGCAGUCCUUGAACAUCCACAGUUGUCCAUAAUUUUCAACAACGUCGUUGAUGAAAGGCUCUGGUUCCAAGGGAUUUACAAAAUGUUCCAAGAAGAAAUCCGAUGCACAGUAGUUGUAAUUGUCCGCCACAUCCAUUGCAGUCAUCUGCAAAAAUCAAUGAAACUACGUGAAUUCAUUCGGA